GAUGAACGCUGGCGGCGUGCCUAAUACAUGCAAGUCGAGCGAACAGACGAGGAUCUUGCUCCUCUUACGUUAGCGGCGGACGGGUGAGUAACACGUGGAUAACCUACCUAUAAGUCUGGGAUAACUUCGGGAAACCGGAUCUACUACCGGAUAAUAUCUUUAACCUCAUUUUUCAUUAGUUAUUUACGUUUUUUCUGUCUCUUUUAGAUGUAUCCGCGCCGCAUUAGCUAGUUGGUAAGGUAACGUCUUACCAAGGCAACGAUGCGUAGCCGACCUGAGAGGGGGAUCGGCAACACGGGAAGUGAGACACGGACAAGAAGACUACGGGAGGCAGCAGUAGGGAAUCUGCCGCAAUGGGCGAAAGCAUGACGGAGCAACGCCGCGUGAGUGAUGAAGGUCUUCGGAUCGUAAAACUCUGUUAUUAGGGAAGAACAAAUGUGUAAGUAACUAUGCACGUCUUGACGGUACCUAAUCAGAAAGCCACGGCUAACUACGUG
rnacentral:rRNA from 1 species